AAAAAAAAAUAAGUUAAUAAAAAAAAAGCACUUUAUGUUUUUCUAAUCUAGGUUCUACCAGGGACAGUGUCAAGAUUUCGCACUUUAAAACAAGCACUAUUUCCAGUGGGCCGCAUGCUGGCCCUGCACUUGGGGUACUACUUGUGCCCAUUUCUGGCCACAGUGGGUCUACUGUUACCACAUCAGAGUCCGGGGCUUUUCUGUGACCCCUCAGGAUCACCCCUCAUCCCUCAUGGGACAGGAGAGGUCCUCAGCUCUCGGGAGCAGGGCUCUCUUAAAGUCCUGCAUACAAGAGACUCACACACGUCUCAGAAGGGCGCAGCAAGAGUUGAGUGAAGCAAGAGUUGGGGGUCGGGUGUUGUACCGCUCUUUCUUGUCACCCAGCCAUUGUGUGUUCCAUGUUACUGUCUGUCCCGAAAGCCCGACGCUCCUCCCUGCGGCCAUCGAGGCAGACAGCACAGCCAAAAGCAAUAAGUACCCAUGUGUAUCCCUCGAGGUUCCUGUGUACUUCCUGGUGUCAGUCUUCCUGUCCAAACGUUGACCUGGCGUUGCCCCGCCUGCUUGGGACCCAGUGAGUGGCACAGUAUUGCUGGCCCUUCCUCAGUGACACCAGUCUGCGUAAUGCUCUAGUUACGGCGGUGUUGGUCAGCCUGUCUGUGGUAUAAUAGGGCAAUGUGGUUUUCUUACUAUAGCGUGAGUGGGUAAUGUCCCAAAUGCUGUAGUGUCCUCCUCCCUGUCCUAAGAACAGUGACGGGCAUGUCUUCCUGAUGAAGCAAAGACAAUAAUUGGUCACCUGUCCUCAGUAUCGUGUGUGGCUGGUCAGCCCGGUAGUUCGAUGGCACGAUCCACCCGUCAGCACACUAGUAAAUCACGAUGUUCUGCCUCCUCUUGUUUCCAUGGCUGAGGUCAGGCCACCUGUCCCAGGUAGGAUGCUAAAGGCUCAUCCCACCACCCUUAAACAAAGUGUUCAAUGACACUUCUCAGCAUCUCCAAAGACCUGGGUCCUCCUCCCUCCAGAGGGCACAGCUUGGUAUUUUGCUAUGUUCAUGAAGAAAAUGAGAAGUUGAUUAUGCCUCAUCCAUCCGUCCUCAGAGCUUUCUCAAAACAGAAGCAAAGGGGCUGAGACAGUGCCGGGUCACGUGCACCAGCGGCAUCCUGGAGGCAGGAAGCAGGGGGCGGAGCUCCACGGCCCCCUGCUGAGCUCAGCCUGGUGCUGGGGGCCUGUUGCGGUGACCGGUGGCGGUGGGACCUUUCUGCUGACCAUCUUCCACGUCUGUCUUUUUGUGUUGCUCAUCAGUCACCCAUCAGCACAAAUGUGAAAAUUCAGGGAAACAAACAAAUGCUUUUUGAUAAAAAGUAAAUAGUUGUGAUUUCCGAUUCAGAUAUUUUUAGAGCUAUCUGUAAAAAAAACUCCUACUGAUGAUAUAGUCUAUUUUACAUAUCAGGAAGUAAACGCGUCUUUAACAUAGCCAUAUAUAGCCAGAAGGAAGUUACCGCCCCCCUUCUUUAAACCAAGGCAUUUCAUUGGUUAGUUAAGCCGAUGGCGGGUGUACAGCGUAGAAAUGAUUGCUUUCUUUUUUAAGAACCACUUGGUGCGACUUUUCUUGUAACCAAAGGCCCCUUCUGCCUUGUGUACAACCUAGCUGUCCCUCCCUCUUGUGUUUUGUCUGACCUUAAAGUAGCAUUAUACAGAGAAAAUGAUAAAUUCAGAAAACCCUUCCUAGCUACACAGGCAGAGUCUGACAGAAUUCCUAUAGAGACAACCAUCAAAACAGUGUAAACGAUGCGUAAGAGUUUUCUGUUUUGGUUUUUGUUGGCUCCCCCCCCUUCACUUAUAUUUGUGUGUACUGUGGGAAUAUAGCUUCACACACACACACACACACACACACACACACACACACACACACACACGUUAACUCAAGUUAGAAUAUAAAUUUUCCUAUCAGCCCUCCACCUGCUAAAAAAGGAACACAGAGCCUCACGCCGCCUCAUGUACCUACCUGACCCAGGUACCUGUGUUUACACGCACUGGGAAGUCUUGGGUGGCCAAGAUGAAGCUGAAUCCGACAGAUGGGUCUCAGCAGUGAAAAGAAGAGCCAGGGUGUGGACGCAGACGCCACUUGAACUUGGUGGUCCGCCUGGCCUGACCCAAGCAGAGUAAAAGGAAGUGAGGUACCCAAAUAGCACCAGGGACUGGAGGUGGAGAUCUCAUCAGGACUGCUCAGAAGCCAGCUGAACCUGAGUACCAGAGCCCAACACAUCGUCAGAUCGCUGUGCGCGCCCAUCACCCUGGGAAAGCCUUACGGUGGACAAGCUGCAGCCUUGUCUCUCCCUUCUCCUGAGAAGAUCCACAUCUCUAAGGAGGAAACAGGACACAACAGCAUUCUCUUCUGUACAACUGUAAUGUAUUGUCAAUAUUUAUAAUUAUGUAUUUGUCUGACUCUGGUCAUGGCUGGAAUGUCUAGUCCAUAAACAAGGAGAUAUUUAAAAUUCAUCACAGACUAGGGUCCCUAAAGCCAGGUCUCUCUAUAUAGAUAGAUAGGUAUAGAUAUAUAAAUAGAUCGCUUUUCCUUAUUUCUCUGCCAACUUUGUCUCAAGUAAAAUAAACACAAGCUGCACUGAAUCCAAGGAGGGAAGGAUACACGGAAAAGCUUCUAGAACAUGCUCCUUUGGAGACAGGCUUUGUGUACGUGUAUCUGAGAGGUUGGCGGAGGAAGAUGGGGGCUCCAAGGUCCCCAACAGGACAACAGAACUCUCUAGCCUCCGGUGUUUCCUAACCUAUUACUGUUUAUAUGACAGCCCCCGAAUGCUCUCAUGCCAGGGCCACCCAAACCAGCCCAGGCCACACCUGGGGAGAAGACUUACCUCCGCAUUUUUUUGUUACCAUUUUCCUGGCUCUAGAAGCAUCUAUAUCCUAGGACGUCCACACAUCUCUCAGAGUAGUCUAUUUUUUUGUUCAGAUAAAAUAUAUACAUAUAUGUAUUUUUAGUAUAUUUAUAAUAGGGCAAUUGAGUCUAAUUUUCUGUAACAGAGGGAUAUCUUGGGGAUUUUAUUGUUGUUCAUUUGCAUAGCUGGUCUUUUCUGCUCUCUGUCAUUCCUUCCCACUGUCCCUUGGGCUGAUUUGUUUUUUGUUUUGUUUUGUUUUGUUUUGUUGGAUUCCAGUUGUCUGAAGAUGGGAAAAGACUGGGAUUUGAUAUCCUGGAAGAUGGAGUUCCUGGCAAUGGGUGGGUGAUGGGGGACUGGCAGAGCAGCUCUGUGUCUUUCCUCAUUGGGUCUAUGUUCCCUGGCUGUCACUCUUAAGAAUCCAGGCGUGCAGGAGCAAGCCAGGUGAAGACAGGCGUAGCUGGGAGCUGGGCUGCUGGGAGCUCGGGUGGCAGAUGCUUCCCUCCCCAGAGCCUAAAGGACUGAGCUCUCUGGUUCCCAGAAAUAUUAGAAUCAAGACCCUCCUGCGCGCAAACCUGUCUCUGAGCUCAGGAAGUCCCUCCUGGUCAGAUUGUCCUCAAGUCCAGCAUCCUGCUUCCCAGGGCCACCAACCGGAUCCAAGGACCAGGAUGUGUGCAGGUUCCAGCAAACUUCAGAAGGAUGUGCUGUGUCUCCGUUCCAUUUCUCACAGUCUUACCAAACACCCGUGGCCGGACAGCCUUGUAGCCAAACGUAGAGGUGUGACAGCCAAAGCUGUGAUCUCCCUACCCAGACCCUCUCAGCCGCACCAAUGCACUUGAGGCAAGGGUGGCAGAAUUUUUCCAGCUUCUACUUUUCCGAGUCUCCAGUCCCUGGUCAGACCUGAGCAUCCAUCAGAAACAAUUUUGAGCCUAGGGACAGACAGGUGAUGGACAGACCCCACCUGGAGUGAAGGGGUCUGCCCACCGUCAGCUUACGCAGGACAAGAAAAGCCAAUCAGAUUGCCUCCCAUGCUCAACCCGUCACCUACCUGCCUCAGCUCUGGAUUCUGAGCUCUCCCGGCAGCAGAGAUUUGAGUCAAGCCAGAAUAGCCCUAUCUCAGACAGUGAUGGUAUGCCCACUGAGAGAACCCCAAGAGGAUGCUACUGAAAUGCAAAUUUAGUAUUCUGGUGGUUGGAUUUCCUUCCCCUUGGUUUUGUUUUGUUCUGUGGGAUUGGAACCUAACCAGGGCCUUGGUUGUGUCAGACAAGUGCUCGACCCUGAGCUACAUCUGCAGCCCCUGAAUGUAUUAAUUUGGACUGUGAUUCUAAUCUGUUUCUCCUGUCUCUAAAAUUCCUGGGGAUCUGGUUUGUUCCAGAGCCAAAUAAAACAGACAAGAUUUUGUGUGUGUGUGUGUGUGUGUGUGUGUGUGUGUCUGUGUAUGUAUGUGAUUGUGUGUGGUGUGCAUGCACAUGCAAACAUGCAUGUGCAUGUGUGUUUGUAUGCAUAUGUGUGUGCAACUUUUGCAUAAGAACAAAAUUAAAAAUUGCUGUCAUGUUGUUUCUGAGGCUCCCUGCCCAGCUAAGUAAGCACUGGCUAUCUUCCCAAGGAGGCGGGGGGACCCUCUGAUCUCUCCUUGCCCUAGAAUCUCUCUCAAAAUUUCCAGAUGGUGACUUGAACCUAAUUUGGAAGGGGCUGUUGGUUGUUUGAGCCAUCCUCUCCACGUCUAGCCCUACCUCUGUCCUUCUCAGCCAAGGUCCUGAAGAAAUCUAAAAGCCAGCAGGAGAGCAUGGGCAGGAAGUUGGCCCAAAGAAGUAGCCACUCAACGUGAGUUGUCCAUUUCAGCUCAAAGCAGUGAAGCCCUUUCUCAGCAGGGUAGGUUAUCUGCUCAUAGAACACCGUGCAUGGUGGGUAAGAGGAUCUGGACUACCCAGUGUAUCGCAGGUAUUCCCAGGGAGGCUGAGUAAUGCACACACAGCCUUGGCAUUACUGGAAACUCAAAGCAAUUCUUUCUUUGUGUGUGUGUGUGUGUGUGUGUGUGUGUGUGUGUGUGUGUGUGUUCACAGCCUUCAUGCACAUGUGGGUAUCUGCAUAGGUGUCUUGAACGUUCUGGGUCCAGGUUCAAGCCUCAUAGACAAGGAUUUGGAGCAGAGCCACUGGGACCUCAGGUUAUAGGAAGGGGCCACCGCAGGAGGCACCAAAGCAGGAGGGCCGCAGCAGAGGACUCAACAUCCUAGGCCUGCUCUUGCUAUUUUUCUGACCCUGCCAAGCAUUUAUCCAACCCAUUCCCAACGGCCUAACAAGGACCAUUUAGGGAAGAGAUGCACGCUGCCCUUUCCCCCCGGCCAGUAAAGGGCCAACCCGCAGGCUCACCUGUGGUUAUCCACCGCAUGGUGCUUCAGCCCCUUCCCUAUACUCUGUGCCCUCCAAGAGACUCAGUGAUCACCCCACAAGCCAGCCACCCACUGCCCAACCAAUUCCAAAUGGCGCCAUUCCAAAAGGGCUUUUUCCCCCUUGUUAAAUAAAGGUAAACCUAGUCAAGGUCUUCAAAGGUCUCUGCCCAAGAAAUAAAUCUAGGAAAAUAAAAUCAGCAGAGGUAAUGAUAAUCCAGCUUUAUGGGGAAACCAAGGCUCCCGCUGCUUCCAAGAGGAAAGCCUGCUCUCCCACAUCCGUCCCCAAAGGGAAUGCUCUCUUUCUCCACCUAGCACAGAGCUGCUGGUGAGCUCUCCCUCACUGGAUGUAGGGCGCGUGGAGGAGGUAGUGUGUGAACUCCAGGGUGAGCCCAAACCGAGGUGGUUCUGAAAGGCAAAGUAGCCCAGUAAGCCAGGGUUUUCUGAGCCACUAUCUUCUAAAACUAAAUUAAAUAGGAACUGGUUUACAAAAUCUCAGCCCACGGGGGUGUUUUCCAUGAUGCUCGGCUGCAGUUACAGAGCAGCUGAGGGAAAUGUGGGGUCGCCCCAUUCUAUCCCACUUAGAUAUGCGAAACUUGGUUUGGAUAGACAGGGAUGCACCACAGAAGAGAGCCCCGAGGGCCUCACUCAACAGCACAGCUCCUAGCCUCCAGACUUCCCCAAGGUUUGAAAUGCCUGAGACCAUCGGGCAUCCAAGAGCCAGGUGUGGCUGCAGGAAGUGCAGGGCAGCAGUCCUCUUUCUCUCUGGACCCAUUUGGCUUGAGUCCAAGCUAAAGGGCAAGGAGUCCCCUUUUUCUACACCAGGAACUCGUGACCCUCUGCCAGUGUGCUGAUGACACACAGCAGUCAUCCAGCCUGUCUUUUGGGGUGUGUGCGUGUGAGGAUGGAAAGUGCUUAGGUGGACAGGUGAAGAGGGCAGUGCUGGGUUCUCACCUGGCUGGGCAUAUGGCUAGUUGGUAAGGAAAGUGUGGAAGUCCCCCUUUCUCUGAACUGUCCCCACGAAUGCCAUCUCUUCUAUGACCAUAUUUGGAGUCACAGGAAUGCCCACAUUUGAUGCUGGCAGCCUCAAGCUGAUAGGGGUCCUGAUCUACUCAAAGCCCCCACCCUGAGGCUGGCCAGCACUGCCUGUCUUCCUUCUUGUUCUACUCCAGUUCACAGGGAGUAACAUGGAGACCACAAUGGCUAUCCAGUAGUCCAAGCUAAGGGCCCAGGUUGGAGGUGGGGUGGAGUAUAUGGGACUUGACUAGGGUAGGAACAUGGGAGCCAGUGCCUACCACUGGCUCUCAUUACCUGAGCUAUAAGAACCAAUGGUCCCUCCUUUUAUCUGAACCUGGAAGGCCCCCUCACAAUAAUGACAAGCGCCCCAAUCCCAUCAGCCCAGACUCUCUGUCCCUCCCAGGACCCCACAGCGUAAGGCUGGGGUUCUUCUGCCAGCAAAGCCAUUCUGAUUGCUUCACCUUUCAAGGAGGCCAAGCCAACCAUAUUAGCCAUACUCCACCAGGGUCCUCAGCCAUUCUUCUGUGGGUUGUGUUCAUGGGUCCUGUUCAACCUUCAUCAGUAGAAGGCUCUAGCCCUUCCUGUCCACGUGACAAUGCACACCGGUGUGCAUGUGCUCAUACGUGCACAUGAGUGCACACACAAGGAAACCAACAAAACCCCAGUGUCUUCUUCUGCAUGUGGUGAGAUGGACUUGUGACCCUUGUGUGACCUCCGGCUGCUGUCCUGUCUUGUAAAAAAAAAAAAAAAAACACAAUUCACUUGUUUAAGAAUUUUCAAGCAAAUGGUCCCUUAAUGAAGUCUGCAGCGUUCAAAUAAAAGAUCCGGAGAAAACA